UACUGAGUGGCAGACGGGUGAGUAUAAUGUGGGAAUCUGCCUUUUGGUUUGGAAUAACACGGGGAAACUUGUGCUAAUACCGAAUAAGCCCUUACGGGGAAAGUUUUAACGCCGAAAGAUGAGCCUGCACUUGAUUAGCUAGUUGGUAAGGUAAAGGCUUACCAAGGCAACGAUCAAUAGCUGUUCUUAGAGGAAGACCAGCCACAUUGGGACUGAGACACGGCCCAGACUCCUACGGGAGGCAGCAGUGGGGAAUCUUGCACAAUGGGGGAAAACCUGAUGCAGCGAUGCCGCGUGAGUGAAGAAGGCCUUUGGGUUGUAAAACUCUUUCGUCGGGGAAGAAAAUGACUGUACCCGAAUAAGAAGGUCCGGCUAACUUCGUGCCAGCAGCCGCGGUAAUACGAAGGGACCUAGCGUAGUUCGGAAUUACUGGGCUUAAAGAGCUCGUAGGUGGUUAAGAAAGUUGAUGGUGAAAUCCCAAGGCUCAACCUUGGAACUGCCAU
rnacentral:rRNA from 1 species